GAUGAACGCUGGCGGCGUGCCUAAUACAUGCAAGUCGAGCGAACAGACGAGGAGCUUGCUCCUCUGACGUUAGCGGCGGACGGGUGAGUAACACGUGGAUAACCUACCUAUAAGACUGGGAUAACUUCGGGAAACCGGUGCUAAUACCGGCUAAUAUAUUGUACCGCAUGGUUCAAUAGUGAAAGACGGUUUUGCUGUCACUUAUAGAUGGAUCCGCGCCGCAUUAGCUAGGUGGUAAGGUAACGGCUUACCAAGGGGACGGUGCGUAGGCGGACCGAGAGGGUUGACCGGCCAACUGGAAAUGAGAACAGGUUCCAGCUUCUUACGGGAGGAAGCAGUGGGAAAUCUGGCGCAAGGGGCGAAAGCCGGACGGGGCAUCGCCGCGGGAGUGAGGAGGGUCUUGGGAUCGUAAGACUCUGUUAUUAGGGAAGAACAAAGGUGUAAGUAACUCUGCUGGUCUGGAGGGAACCUAAUCAUAAGGCCACGGCUAAUUACUU
rnacentral:rRNA from 1 species